UGGUUCUGGCAUCGAUGAAAAACGCAGCGAAAUGCGAUAAGUAAUGCGAAUUGCAGAAUUCAGUGAAUCAUCGAAUCUUUGAACGCACAUUGCGCCCCUUGGUAUUCCGAGGGGCAUGCCUGUUCGAGCGUUAUUAUAACCCCUCAAGCCUUAGCUUGGCCUUGGGGCCUGCCUAUGCGGCAGCCCCUAAAACCAGUGGCGGCGUCCUCGUGGCUCUAAGCGUAGUACUUUCUUCCGCUAUAGGGUCCACGGCGGUGCUUGCCAGCAACCCCCAAUUUCCUCUAUGGUUAACCUCGGAUCAGGUAGGGAUACCCGCUGA
rnacentral:misc_RNA from 1 species